AUUGAACGCUGGCGGCAUGCCUUACACAUGCAAGUCGAACGGUAACGGGUCCUUCGGGAUGCCGACGAGUGGCGAACGGGUGAGUAAUAUAUCGGAACGUGCCCAGUAGUGGGGGAUAACUGCUCGAAAGAGCAGCUAAUACCGCAUACGACCUGAGGGUGAAAGGGGGGGAUCGCAAGACCUCUCGCUAUUGGAGCGGCCGAUAUCAGAUUAGCUAAUUGGUGGGGUAAAGGCCUACCAAGGCAACGAUCUGUGGUUGGUCUGAGAGGACGACCAGCCACACUGGGACUGAGACACGGCCCAGACUCCUACGGGAGGCAGCAGUGGGGAAUUUUGGACAAUGGGCGCAAGCCUGAUCCAGCGAUGCCGCGUGCAGGAAGAAGGCCUUCGGGUUGUAAACUGCUUUUGUCAGGGAAGAAAUCUUCUGGGCUAAUACCCCGGGAGGAUGACGGUACCUGAAGAAUAAGCACCGGCUAACUACGUGCCAGCAGCCGCCGUAA
rnacentral:rRNA from 1 species